GCCACCUUAGCUCAGCUGGUAGAGCGCUCGCCUUGUAAGCGAAGGGUCGUCGGUUCAAAUCCGACAGGUGGCUCCA
rnacentral:tRNA from 1 species